rnacentral:rRNA from 1 species
ACCCGCUGAACUUAAGCAUAUCAAUAAGCGGAGGAAAAGAAACCAACAGGGAUUGCCUCAGUAACGGCGAGUGAAGCGGCAACAGCUCAAAUUUGAAAUCUGGCACCCGCCCGAGUUGUAAUUUGCAGAGGAGGCUUUGGAGUCGCCCCGGUCCAAGUUCCUUGGAACAGGACGUCGCAGAGGGUGAGAAUCCCGUACGCGGCCGGAUGGCUUCUCCGUGUAAAGCCCCUUCGACGAGUCGAGUUGUUUGGGAAUGCAGCUCUAAAUGGGAGGUAAAUUUCUUCUAAAGCUAAAUACCGGCCAGAGACCGAUAGCGCACAAGUAGAGUGAUCGAAAGAUGAAAAGCACUUUGAAAAGAGAGUUAAAAAGUACGUGAAAUUGUUGAAAGGGAAGCGUUUGUAGCCAGACUUGGCGGCAGUUGCUCAACCGGUCUUUGCCCGGUGCACUCUUCUGUCGACAGGCCAGCAUCAGUUCGGGCGGCCGGAUAAAGGCAUUGGGAACGUGGCUCCUCGGAGUGUUAUAGCCCUCCGCACAAUGCGGCCAGCCCGGACUGAGGACCGCGAUUCACGGAUGCUGGCUUAAUGGCUGCCAACGGCCCGUCUUGAAACACGG